AUUGAACGCUGGCGGCAGGCCUAACACAUGCAAGUCGAGCGGAGCGGCGGACGGGUGAGUAAUGCCUAGGAAUCUGCCUGGUAGAGGGGGAUAACGUCCGGAAACGGGCGCGAAUACCGCAUACUAUCAGAUAAGCCUAGGUCGGAUUAGCUAGUUGGGGGGGUAAAGGCCUACCAAGGCGAAGAUCCGUAACUGGUCUGAGAGGAUGAACAGUCACACUGGAACUGAGACCCGGUCCAGCCUCCUACGGGAGGCAGCAGUGGGGAAUAUUGGCCCAUGGGCGAAAUCCUGAUCCAGCCAUUCCGCGUGUGUGAAGAAGGUCUUCGGAUUGUAAAGCACUUUAAGUUGGGAGGCGUUACCAACAGAAUCAGCACCGGCUAACUUCGUGCCAGCAGCCGCGGUAAUUC
rnacentral:rRNA from 1 species